GCCCGGGUGGCGGAACUGGCAGACGCACGGGACUUAAAAUCCCGAGGCUGAAUAAGCCGUGUGGGUUCGAUUCCCACCCCGGGCACCA
rnacentral:tRNA from 2 species